UGCAAGAUUCAGGAUAAAUUCUGCCAAUUG
rnacentral:piRNA from 1 species